rnacentral:lncRNA from 1 species
AAAAAAGGCGACGAAAGCCGGCCACAGAAAGCCAGGAGAAAGUCGAGAGCGUUUGAGGCCUGCGACACACGUCGGUGCAGAGCGAGGAAGGCGCGGCCCGGUUUUUCGCAAACUCGGGCGACAAGAAAGCAAGACGGAGGAAAGGAGAGAAGAAAGAACUCCCAAGUGGAGACAGGAGCGAAAGAAGACAACGAGCCCUGUGAAAGGGCAGGGGAAAAACGAGAAGAAUCCGGAUUUCCGUUGCAGGACUUCCCCCCAUCUGCCCGCUCACGCGCGAGCAGUGAAAGUGCGAGGCAUGAAGAGGCAGAAAAAGUUCCGCUCCGAGACCGGGGAGAAUUUCUGCGGGGAACGGAAGAGAGAGACGCUACAAGAGGCCCUCGACAAAGCUCGCAGAGAAACCGCCAGUCAAAAGUAGCGGCAAGGCGAUGCACACGGAGGAAGCUGUCUAAAAACUCGAACCUCCCGCGAUAAAAGAAGUUCAGAGACAGCAGAGACUUUACAGCCCCGACGUAAUAACCCCCACAGUUUUCUUCGACUAACAACGCAGACAGAACAGCCUUUUCGGCCCCGCAUGCAGCGACCGCAGAAAGAAGAGAUAUCUGAAACUCGAGAUCUGACAUGCUUCUCUCCCGACCGGAAGGGUGGCUCGAUUCACGACCCUGUGUCCCCCCCCUUGUUUAACCGAUCAAACAGCAAACAAGAGACCGAAAGAGAAGAAGCCAGGAAGCUUCCAAUACUCGAUCGCUGUCUCCGUUGUCUCGGGAACAAGCAAAAAGAGAGAC